AUAAUUUACUAAGAUUUUCAAUGGGAUAGAUUCCCAAGAUGUAUGUACCAAAAAACAAAAAAACAAAAAACAGUGCAAAAUGAAGAAAGAAGCUGCCUCCAGCGAUUUCAUCUUGGUACAACAUGCUACAUCCUACAUAUUUCAUCACUUCACAGGGAAAGAAGACUUGAUGUACAGUUUCUAAGCAAAUUCUUAGGUUUGAGUACAAGCUUGUCACAAAAUGCUUUGAUAUUCUGGGCAAGCCAUUUAACUGCAAAAUCUGUUUUCUGAUCUGCAAUGAUUAUGAAAGGAUUACUUAUUUUACAAGGUUAUCAAUAUUAAAUGAGAAUAUUUUGGAAAAAUCUGUAAAACACAAUUUAUCUUGCCAGCAAUAUUUCCAAAACCAUUCAAAUCUUCUCUUUUCACGUAAGAUGACCAAAGGGAAGUACAUGGGAAGACUCAGGCGGCCAAGUUUCAUUGCUAAACAGCUGUUCAGUGUCAAAAUGAUUAGGAUCACUCCCCAUGCUCCUGGGCAACUAUAGGAAUCCAGUUCUAAGAAAUAAAGUAAUGUCUACCACUGAAGAAAAUUUGUAUUGAAAAGCAAACUGAAAGCUUCUGUUGAUUAAAUAAUUCCUGUAAAAUACUGAAUACACUACUGCUGUGUGGUAUUAGCUGCAGGCCUAGCCAAAGGCUAAAGUUAAUUCAAAACGAGUUUAAGAAUCAAAUAAUUCUAAUUAGUAGUUACUUUCUUUAAUGUCUGAAAUCACCAAAAAAGCAUUGAGGGCACAAUCACUCCUUGUCACAUUAACCCUGCAAUAGGCUGUUGAAAAUUAUUUAUAUAGCCUUGUAUGUUACUAACAUAAUUUGUGUGCUAUUACUGCUUUAAACAGCCAAAUUCUGUUUUGGUACUUACAUUUCCAAAUCUAUGAGACAUAGGCUGCAUCUUCAGCAAAGAAGAAUUCAGUACAUUAACAUGUUACAGAGAGCUUUAAAAAGCUUGGCCAUAUCACACUUACAUAGCAAAGGAUAAAGUUAGUAUGAGUAAACUUCACAACUAAGGCAGUUUACUCGAAAUGAUGUUACGAGGCAAAAAAUAGGCCAAAUUUUUCUUCCGACGUUAUUUCAAGUGUUAGUGCUUUCACACACACAUUUUCCGGUCUAAAGGUUCCGGACAGAUUCCAUCUGGAGAAAUGACAGGCCUGACAUGCAGAUCCAGCCCUUCCAUCUGCCCUGAGUCUGUGAACAGCUUCCACGCGACUCCAUCACUAAAUUAUGAGUCCCAAGCAGAUUCCUCCCCUCACUGCGGCCCUAGAUAACAAGCUCGCUCAACAAUGCAGUCUCGAUAACUCCGCUACAAGGAGGGAGAAAAGAGGCCACGUGAAACAUUUGCAAAAGAAAGCGUGAAAACAGGAGUCAAAUAAGAAAACAGUUUGGAAGAGGCGCUGGGAGCUGCGGUCUCUUUAAAACCCUCCCUCACUCCCGUGGCGGGUAAAGAGGGAAGUACACGUGGCGGAAACGCACCCCGGGACCAGCGCGGGCUUGGUGAAGCCGAAGGACUGUGCUCCGCGCCCUCCGGAUACGCGGCUCUAUCUGUGGGCGGCCGCGGGCAGGAUUUAGUGGCAGUAGUGGGAACCAAAACAAAUCUCUUUAUUUGGGAACAAGUAACACAGGUGAAAGAAGUGGUCCCAGAUCCCAAUUCAGAGAAUCCUGUUGGUCACAGUCUAAAACCUGGUGACUGGAUACACUGGAUGUCAUUAGGGAAAGACAAUCCUCCAGUCACAUUAAAAGGGACCUUACCAAGUGCUGCUCCUAACCACUGACACUGUUGCCAAACUAGAAGGUAUGGGGCCUUGGGUGCACAUCUCAUAGCCCAAGAAGGCUGCACUUGAGCCCUGGUCCCGUGCAGAUGGAGACCUCUGAAACAAAUAGCUGAGAAAAGGAAGAAGCUGACAUCAAGGUUCCUACUUCCCAGGGAAGGGACAAAUGCAGAUGAGGCUAUGAUCAGGAACUUCUUAAUUGUUGAAGUUAGUGCAGAAUCUGCUGCUGAGGCAAUAGCUGCCCAACAAAGAUCGUUAGACUCUCUAGUCGAAGUUGUUCUUGCUCUGAUAUGGCUCCCCAAGUACAUUCUAAUUAACGUAAUAAUCUCCCUAGACACUUGUAUCUUCUCAAAAGCUUUAAAUGCACGUAAGCAGCCAGUAACUACCAAGCAGAUGAUCUCUCUGUGACUGGAACUUCACCAAACUGAAGAGAAUGACAGACACAGGAUCGUGAACUAUAGUUAGAAUAUCACAGAAAUUAAGCAAAACGUGACCCAGUGACACUACACGGAAGGAACGACAAAAGCUGCAAAACUAUAGAGCAGUAGCUAAGAGCAGCACUAACACCUUAAAUUUUUAUUUAAGAUGUUACUCAGAGGUAAGCUGAAAGUAAUCAAAAAGGGGAGAUAUUGUUAAACAACACAAGCCCAAGAUGGGGUCACUUCUCCUAGGUCAUCUCACCAAACUGGGGCUUACUGCCCAAUCUGAUUGCAGCUUUAGUAUCUCCCAGGAGUGGAAAUUUAAACCAAUCAAGUCUAGAUUUACCUAAUCACUAGUGAAGUAAUCUGCAUAAGACCCCGUUGCUCUUUCUCCUAAGGGAGGGUGACAAUUCCUGAAACAAUCCCAUAUCUCUUCUUUUGCUAGUAACUUUUUUGGCCCUACCCACCUGUCUAUAAACACUUUCCACUUUGUACAACUACUGGGAUUGUACCUCAAUUUGAUAGAUAGGAUGCUGCUUUAUUCAUGAAUGGCUUAAUAAAGCCAAUUACAUCUUCAAAUUUA